UNUUACCAGAAAGGGACGGCUAACUACGUGCCAGCAGCCGCGGUAAUACGCAGNUCCCGAGCGUUGUCCGGAUUUAUUGGGCGUAAAGCGAGCGCAGGCGGUUAGAUAAGUCUGAAGUUAAAGGCUGUGGCUUAACCAUAGUACGCUUUGGAAACUGUUUAACUUGGGUGCAGAAGGGGAGAGNGGAAUUCCAUGCGUAGCGGUGAAAUGCGUAGAUAUAUGGAGGAACACCGGUGGCGAAAGCGGCUCCCUGGUCUGUAACUGACGCUGAGGCUCGAAAGCGUGGGGAGCGAACAGGAUUAGAUACCCUGGUAGUCCACGCCGUAAACGAUGAGUGCUAGGUGUUAGGCCCUUUCCGGGGCUUAGUGCCGCAGCUAACGCAUUAAGCACUCCGCCUGGGGAGUACGACCGCAAGGUUGAAACUCAAAGGAAUUGACGGGGGCCCGCACAAGCGGUGGAGCAUGUGGUUUAAUUCGAAGCAACGCGAAGAACCUUACCAGGUCUUGACAUCCCGAUGCCCGCUCUAGAGAUAGAGUUUUACUUCGGUACAUCGGUGACAGGUGGUGCAUGGUUGUCGUCAGCUCGUGUCGUGAGAUGUUGGGUUAAGUCCCGCAACGAGCGCAACCCUUAUUGUUAGUUGCCAUCAUUCAGUUGGGCACUCUAGCGAGACUGCCGGUAAUAAACCGGAGGAAGGUGGGGAUGACGUCAAAUCAUCAUGCCCCUUAUGACCUGGGCUACACACGUGCUACAA
rnacentral:rRNA from 1 species